GCGGGUGUAAUUCAGUGGUAGAAUGUCAGCUUCCCAAGCUGAACGUCGCCGGUUCAAAUCCGGUCACCCGCU
rnacentral:tRNA from 8 species